CAGGGCUAUGUGGUUUAUCGAAGGGUGCUUCGGUAUUACUCAGGGGAAGAAGAUGGCAUUGAUAUGAGAAAGGCGCUAUCACAAGAUGUUGACAAGAAGUCCAUCAUACCACUCAAGAGACCAAUAACACCGGAUGAACUUGAAUACGACUGACAUGCUAAAUUCUAACUAUCACUCUUGAUGGUUGUGUCCUAGUCGAUCUGCAUGACUUAUAUGGCAGCUCGACAAGCUAUUGUCUCUAGUGUUGUUGAAUGAGUGAUCGUGAAUUUUCUAUUUGCACAUUCCUGUUAA